AUUGAACGCUGGCGGCAGGCUUAACACAUGCAAGUCGAGCGGAGAUGAGGUGCUUGCACCUUAUCUUAGCGGCGGACGGGUGAGUAAUGCUUAGGAAUCUGCCUAUUAGUGGGGGACAACAUUCCGAAAGGAAUGCUAAUACCGCAUACGUCCUACGGGAGAAAGCAGGGGAUCUUCGGACCUUGCGCUAAUAGAUGAGCCUAAGGCGGAUUAGCUAGUUGGUGGGGCAAAGGCCUACCAAGGCGACGAUCUGUAGCGGGUCUGAGAGGAUGAUCCGCCACACUGGGACUGAGACACGGCACAGACUCCUACGGGAGGCAGCAGUGGGGAAUAUUGGACAAUGGGGGGAACCCUGAUCCAGCCAUGCCGCGUGUGUGAAGAAGGCCUUAUGGUUGUAAAGCACUUUAAGCGAGGAGGAGGCUACUGAGACUAAUACUCUUGGAUAGUGGACGUUACUCGCAGAAUAAGCACCGGCUAACUCUGUGCCAGCAGCCGCGGUAACAC
rnacentral:rRNA from 1 species